rnacentral:rRNA from 1 species
CCUACGGGAGGCAGCAGUAAGGAAUAUUGCGCAAUGGGGGCAACCAUGACGCAGCAACGCCGCGUGGGCGACGAAGGCCUUCGGGUUGUAAAGCCCUUUUCGGAGGGACGAGUAAGGACGGUACCUCCGGAACAAGUCUCGGCUAACUACGUGCCAGCAGCCGCGGUAAAACGUAGGAGGCAAGCGUUAUCCGGAUUCACUGGGCGUAAAGCGCGCGCAGGUGGCCUGUCAAGUCGGACGUGAAAUCUCCCGGCUCAACUGGGAGGGGCCGUUCGAUACUGGCGGGCUUGAGGGCAGAAGGGGAAGGCGAAAUUCCCGGUGUAGUGGUGGAAUGCGUAGAUAUCGGGAGGACCACCGGUGGCGAAGGCGGCUUCCUGGGCUAGGACUGACGCUGAGGAGCGAAAGCUAGGGGAGCGAACAGGAUUA